CGGCAUACUGCUCAGUAACACGUGGACAACCUACCCUAAGGAGGGGGAUAACCCCGGGAAACUGGGGAUAUACCCCAUAGAUUAUGGAUGCUGGAAUGCUCUGUAGUUGAAAGGUCCGCCGCCUUAGGAUGGGUCUGCGGCCGAUUAGGUUGUUGUUGGGGUAACGGCCCAACAAGCCUGUAAUCGGUACGGGUUGUGGGAGCAAGAGCCCGGAGAUGGAUUCUGAGACACGAAUCCAGGCCCUACGGGGCGCAGCAGGCGCGAAAACUUUACAAUGCGAGUAAUCGUGAUAAGGGAACUCUGAGUGCCCGUAAAAUCGGGCUGUCCAUCUGUGUAAAUAACAGGUGAGGAAAGGGCCGGGCAAGACCGGUGCCAGCCGCCGCGGUAAUACCGGCGGCUCGAGUGGUGGCCACUAUUACUGGGCUUAAAGCGUUCGUAGCUGGUCUGUUAAGUCUCUGGGGAAAUCUUCCGGCUUAACCGGAAGGCGUCUCAGGGAUACUGGCAGACUAGGGACCGGGAGAGGUGAGGGGUACUCCAGGGGUAGGAGUGAAAUCCUGUAAUCCUUGGGGGACCACCUGUGGCGAAGGCGCCUCACCAGAACGGCUCCGACAGUGAGGAACGAAAGCUGGGGGAGCAAACCGGAUUAGAUACCCGGGUAGUCCCAGCUGUAAACGAUGCGCGUUAGGUGUAUCGAUGACCACGAGUCAUCGAGGUGCCGAAGAGAAAUCGUGAAACGUGCCGCCUGGGAAGUACGGUCGCAAGGCUGAAACUUAAAGGAAUUGGCGGGGGAGCACCACAACGGGUGGAGCCUGCGGUUUAAUCGGACUCAACGCCGGGAAACUCACCGGACAAGACAGCUGGAUGAUAGUCGGGCUGAAGACUCUACUUGACUAGCUGAGAGGAGGUGCAUGGCCGUCGUCAGUUCGUACUGUGAAGCAUCC
rnacentral:rRNA from 1 species